rnacentral:rRNA from 1 species
ACGGAGGGUGCAAGCGUUGUCCGGAUUUAUUGGGCGUAAAGCACGUGCAGGCGGUCUGGUAUGUCGAGUGUGAAAUCCCGGGGCUUAACCCCGGAACUGCGCUCGAAACUGCCAGUCUUGAGUUCGGAAGGGGGAGAUGGAAUUUCCGGUGUAGGGGUGAAAUCCGUAGAUAUCGGGAAGAAUACCGGUGGCGAAGGUGAUAUCCUGGUUCGAUACUGACGGUCAGACGUGAAAGCGUGGGUAGCAAACAG